CCUACGGGUGGCAGCAGUGGGGAAUAUUGGACAAUGGGGGGAACCCUGAUCCAGCCAUGCCGCGUGUGUGAAGAAGGCCCUCGGGUUGUAAAGCACUUUCAGUGAGGAAGAACGCCUGGUGGUUAAUACCCAUCAGGAAAGACAUCACUCACAGAAGAAGCACCGGCUAACUCCGUGCCAGCAGCCGCGGUAAUACGGAGGGUGCGAGCGUUAAUCGGAAUUACUGGGCGUAAAGCGCGCGUAGGUGGCUUGAUAAGCCGGUUGUGAAAGCCCCGGGCUCAACCUGGGAACGGCAUCCGGAACUGUCAAGCUAGAGUGCAGGAGAGGAAGGUAGAAUUCCCGGUGUAGCGGUGAAAUGCGUAGAGAUCGGGAGGAAUACCAGUGGCGAAGGCGGCCUUCUGGACUGACACUGACACUGAGGUGCGAAAGCGUGGGUAGCAAACAGGAUUAGAUACCCCAGUAGUC
rnacentral:rRNA from 1 species